rnacentral:rRNA from 1 species
AACGAACGCUGGCGGCAGGCUUAACACAUGCAAGUCGAGCGCCCCGCAAGGGGUGCGGCAGACGGGUGAGUAACGCGUGGGAACGUACCUUUUGGUUCGGAACAACUCCGGGAAACUGGAGCUAAUACCGGAUAAGCCCUAACGGGGAAAGAUUUAUCGCCGAAAGAUCGGCCCGCGUCUGAUUAGCUAGUUGGUGAGGUAACGGCUCACCAAGGCGACGAUCAGUAGCUGGUCUGAGAGGAUGAUCAGCCACACUGGGACUGAGACACGGCCCAGACUCCUACGGGAGGCAGCAGUGGGGAAUAUUGGACAAUGGGCGCAAGCCUGAUCCAGCCAUGCCGCGUGAGUGAUGAAGGCCUUAGGGUUGUAAAGCUCUUUUGUCCGGGAAGAUAAUGACUGUACCGGAAGAAUAAGCCCCGGCUAACUUCGUG